rnacentral:rRNA from 1 species
UACGUAGGUGGCAAGCGUUGUCCGGAUUUACUGGGCGUAAAGAGCGCGCAGGCGGUCGUUCAAGUCGCGUGUGAAAGCCCCCGGCUCAACUGGGGAGGGUCACGCGAUACUGAUCGACUCGAAGGCAGGAGAGGGUAGUGGAAUUCCCGGUGUAGUGGUGAAAUGCGUAGAGAUCGGGAGGAACACCAGUGGCGAAGGCGGCUUGCUGGGCCGGACCUGACGCUGAGGAGCGAAAGCGUGGGGAGCAAACAGG